CCCAAGGGCUGCACUUGACUACAAAUAGUAAUAUGUAAGGUCUUUCACUCUAGAUGUUGCUCUUUUUGGCAGGUGUGAGGGGGCAGUGUAUCAGCCUAUAGUGAUCGCCUGCAUUUGCUUUCUAAGCGCUGGGAUAACAGUUUAUGUGGAAGAACAAGAACAUACAUGUGUAAAUGUGCCCUCCCCUUAUAGGCUUUGGGAAUUAGAAAUCAUAUGUAUUCUUCUCCAGGGCAGAAAGGACAACUACUCAACGAACCAGGGCAGUUUAAGUGAAAAUCUGCUGUAACAGCCCUUACUUGAGUUAGUACCUGUUAAGAAGAUUCUGUCUCCAGUGACUCCUCAAAAUUUCUACAUUCAAUGGACAUUUAGUAAAGACAUGGAUUGCAAGAUAACAAGCUAUGCAAAUGAACUUAAGGUUGCUUAUUUUAAAAAGCAAUGGAACUACUAUGUUGUAAGCUGAAAGAAUAUGCAAACCCUGGGCGUGGACAAGUCCUGAAAAAAUGGCUUUCAGGUAGCCAUUUUAACAUGAGCUUAACAAAUUGAGACGGUAUGAAGAUUUCUGUCUAAACUUCAGCUAGUAACUAAUGCUAUGUUAUGGUUAAAAUUAAAAAUCAGUUUAAAAAUAUAAUAUUAUAAUCACAGACCUCAAAAUUAUUAAGGCAUCACCUUCUGUUAUGAAAACCAGUGAGACAUUCAUAAUCAUCACACAAAAUACUACCUGGAUAUUGUUGCUAUCAUCAGUAAACAAAGUAUUGAACCAUGAAAACUCUAUCAUGGGUACCUUCAGA